UACGGGGGGAGCAAGCGUUGUUCGGAUUUACUGGGCGUAAAGGGCGCGUAGGCGGCCACCGCAAGUCGACUGUGAAAUCUCCGGGCUUAACUCGGAAAGGUCAGCCGAUACUGCGGGGCUAGAGUGCAGAAGGGGCAACUGGAAUUCUCGGUGUAGCGGUGAAAUGCGUAGAUAUCGGGAAGAACACCGGUGGCGAAGGCGGCCAUCUGGACCGGUUCUGACGCUGAGGCGCGAAAGCGUGGGGAGCAAACAGG
rnacentral:rRNA from 1 species